rnacentral:rRNA from 1 species
GAUGAACGCUAGCGGCAAGCUUAAUACAUGCAAGUCGAGGGGCAGCAUGACUGUAGCAAUACAGUUGAUGGCGACCGGCAAACGGGUGCGGAACACGUACAGAACCUUCCUUCGAGCGGGGAAUAGCCCAGAGAAAUUUGGAUUAAUACCCCAUAGUAUAUCAGAGUGGCAUCACUUUGAUAUUAAAGAUUUAUCACUUGAAGAUGGCUGUGCGGCUGAUUAGAUAGUUGGUGAGGUAACGGCUCACCAAGUCUGCGAUCAGUAACUGGUGUGAGCGCACGACCAGUGACACGGGCACUGAGACACGGGCCCGACUCCUACGGGAGGCAGCAGUAAGGAAUAUUGGUCAAUGGACGAAAGUCUGAACCAGCUAUGCCGCGUGGAGGAUGAAGGCCCUCUGGGUUGUAAACUUCUUUUAUAUGGGACGAAAAAGGGCCUUUCUAGGUCAACUGACGGUACCAUGUGAAUAAGCACCGGCUAACUCCGUGCCAGCAGCCGCCGUAAUAC